rnacentral:rRNA from 1 species
ACGGAAGGCAGCAGUGGGGAAUAUUGGGCAAUGGGUGAAAGCCUGACCCAGCAACGCCGCGUGAAGGAAGAAGGUCUUCGGAUUGUAAACUUCUUUUAUGAGGGACGAAGGAAGUGACGGUACCUCAUGAAUAAGCCCCGGCUAACUACGUGCCAGCAGCCGCGGUAAUACGUAGGGGGCGAGCGUUAUCCGGAUUUACUGGGUGUAAAGGGCGCGUAGGCGGGACGGCAAGUCAGGUGUGAAAUCUAUGGGCUUAACCCAUAAACUGCAUUUGAAACUGUCGUUCUUGAGUGCUGGAGAGGUAGACGGAAUUCCUUGUGUAGCGGUGAAAUGCGUAGAUAUAAGGAAGAACACCAGUGGCGAAGGCGGUCUACUGGACAGUAACUGACGCUGAGGCGCGAAAGCGUGGGGAGCAAACAGGAUUAGAUACCCUGGUA